UGGGGAAUAUUGGACAAUGGGGGGAACCCUGAUCCAGCCAUGCCGCGUGUGUGAAGAAGGCCUUAUGGUUGUAAAGCACUUUAAGCGAGGAGGAGGGUACUGGUAUUAAUACUACCAGGUACUGGACGUUACUCGCAGAAUAAGCACCGGCUAACUCUGUGCCAGCAGCCGCGGUAAUACAGAGGGUGCGAGCGUUAAUCGGAUUUACUGGGCGUAAAGCGUGCGUAGGCGGCUAAUUGAGUCGGAUGUGAAAUCCCCGAGCUUAACUUGGGAAUUGCAUUCGAUACUGGUUAGCUAGAGUGUGGGAGAGGAUGGUAGAAUUCCAGGUGUAGCGGUGAAAUGCGUAGAGAUCUGGAGGAAUACCGAUGGCGAAGGAAGACAUCUGGCCUAACACUGACGCUGAGGUACGAAAGCAUGGGGAGCAAACAGG
rnacentral:rRNA from 1 species